ensembl:lncRNA
CUAAGGUUGUGAUGGGAUGACAUUUGGAGUAGAUGAACUUAGAGGUCUUUCCAACCUUAAUGAUUCUGUGAUUCUAUUUCAUUCAGAGAAAGAUGGCGGACCCGGAGUAUGGAAGCCAGGUUUUCUUCUUGCAGAGCCUCUUCUCCCUUCCUCUUUUCCACUAUCAGGGCACACUGCUCCAGUGUUCCAGUGUGCAUAGAGCACAGCUCUGAUCUCAAGCAACAAGAUUGGUGGAGAUAAAGAAGAGCUUCCAAGAGAGUGAAGAGCAUGAAUAAGAAUGUGUUUCGAGAACUCACUGACACAUCCAUUCAAAGGCUGCA